AAUAGCCUUCCCCCGUCUCAUCCUCUUUUUACUUGAUAUCUACCAUAUCCAACCAAUUACACUGCCCGGCAGUUCAGCGGAAACAGCUUUAGACUACUUUGAUGAAACGGGGAGGGAAAAAAAACACUAAAGGUAUUUACAUCAUCUUUGGAUCCAGCUAAAAUCACGACCUCAGCAGAGUUUAGGAAGAAAGUGCGACACGGGCUUUUUUUUUUCUUUUCUUAACUGAGAAUGUGGCGAACUUGUGGUUUGAGGAAAGAGUAGAUUACAGCUCACUGAGCGGUCAAGUUGAAGCGACUUUAAUGGCGAGAACUAGCUGAAGUCUCGUCAGCUGCUACAGGAACACAGGACGAGCAGAAGCAGCAGCAUCAGAGCCGCCGCCAUACAUUUUAGGACUACCUGCUUACUACAAACAGCGGAGAGAGGAUGUUGUCUCGGCUGAGUGAACUGAUAUGGGCGGACUGGAUUUGGUUUCCUGAAGGCCACGGCUGGGCUGACUUGAAGGAUCACGAUGGCAAAGUGUUCCCUAAUCCUAAGGACCUCUGGGCUACUAUACCCAUCGCUCUCUGCUUCCUCGUCAUCAGGCAGAUAUUUGAGCGGACUGUCGCCAUUCCUCUGGCCUCUCUUCUGGGAGUGAGUGACAAGCAGCGUGUUGGUGCUUCUCCAAAUCCAGUCCUGGAGUCCUAUUUCUGCAGCACAUCGAAGCAUCCCAAACAGAGCUCCAUUGAGAGUUUAAGCAAACAGACAGGCUGUUCAGUGCGACAGGUCCAGAGGUGGUUCAGGCGCCGGAGGAACCAGGACCGACCCAGCAAGCUCAAAAAAUUUAGGGAGGCAAGUUGGAGAUUUACCUUUUACCUUCUUGCUUUCUUUGCUGGCCUGGCAGUCCUAAUUGAUAAACCAUGGUUCUACGAUGUGAAGCUGAUAUGGGAGAACUUCCCAAAAAUGCCGCUGCUGCCUUCACAGUACUGGUACUACAUGAUCGAACUAGGCUUCUACAUCUCACUGCUUGUCAGCGUAGCGUCAGAUGUCAAGCGAAAGGAUUUCAAAGAACAAAUAAUUCACCAUGUGGCAACCAUCGCCCUCAUCAGUUUUUCUUGGCUGGUCAACUACAUCCGGGCAGGGACUUUGAUCAUGUUGGUUCACGAUGCCGCUGACUAUUUAAUGGAGUCUGCCAAGAUGUUCAACUAUGCAGGCUGGAGGAGGACCUGCAACUUCAUCUUCACCAUGUUUGCUGCAGUUUUCAUCGUCACCCGACUCAUAAUCCUCCCUUUCUGGAUCAUACAUACGACGUUUGUGUACCCGCUGACUCUCUACUCCCCCUUCUUCGGCUUCUACUUCUUCAACGGGUUGAUGUGUGUGCUGCAGGUCCUGCACAUCUUCUGGGCGGUGCUCAUCCUGCGAAUGGUCGUCAAAUUCCUGCCGGGCAAUGACAUCGUCGAGGACGAGAGGAGCGAUAAGGAGGAAACUGAGUCAGACGAUGAAGACGGCGAUUGCGAACAUAGGGAAAAGUCUAGAAACGGGCACGUGCAGAACGGCCACACUGUCCUCAACAACAACCAUAGUAAGAGGGACUGAUUGGACUGUGAGGUCUGCAUGAGAAGUAAUGACAGGCCCUGGUCUGAAAGCCAAAGAACACGUCCCACGAGCCCGUCGAUGAGUCAGCUGCCUGUGGCUCCCUCUGAAAAGCUUUGCUUCUACUCAGUUGUUUUUAUUCUGCGUUAUGUGCUGCUGAGAUGUAAAAUUCAUAAUGACCAGAAUGAUAAAGAUAAACAUGGAUAACCAUUC